rnacentral:rRNA from 1 species
UACGUAGGGGGCAAGCGUUGUCCGGAAUCAUUGGGCGUAAAGCGCGUGUAGGCGGCUCAGUAAGUCCGCUGUGAAAGUCGGGGGCUCAACCCUCGGAUGCCGGUGGAUACUGUCGGGCUUGAGUACGGAAGAGGCGAGUGGAAUUCCUGGUGUAGCGGUGAAAUGCGCAGAUAUCAGGAGGAACACCAAUUGCGAAGGCAGCUCGCUGGGACGUUACUGACGCUGAGACGCGAAAGCGUGGGGAGCAAACAGG